CCUACGGGUGGCAGCAGUGGGGAAUAUUGCACAAUGGGGGAAACCCUGAUGCAGCGACGCCGCGUGAGUGAAGAAGUAUUUCGGUAUGUAAAGCUCUAUCAGCAGGGAAGAAAAAAGACGGUACCUGACUAAGAAGCCCCGGCUAACUACGUGCCAGCAGCCGCGGUAAUACGUAGGGGGCAAGCGUUAUCCGGAUUUACUGGGUGGAAAGGGCGCGUUGACGGUAUGGCAAGACUGAAGUGAAAGCCCAGGGCUUAACCCUGGGACUGCUUUGGAAACUGUUAGACUAGAGUGCUGGAGAGGUAAGUGGAAUUCCUAGUGUAGCGGUGAAAUGCGUAGAUAUUGGGAGGAACACCAGUGGCGAAGGCGGCUUACUGGACAGUAACUGACGUUGAGGCUCGAAAGCGUGGGGAGCGAACAGGAUUAGAUACCCCAGUAGUC
rnacentral:rRNA from 1 species